CGGACUUCUACUUCCCGGUCCGGUCUGCCCAACUGUGGUGAACCCAGUUUUUCUCCUUUUCGCCCGGACCUUAAGACCUUCGCAAAAGAACGUGCAAGACCUGAGGCCUCUUCCGGUCCAUGACGGUCACGCCGGACUUGUGGAAGUCACCAACAGUCCAGGGGCUGUGGGGGUCACGACGGCUGGCCGGGGUUUAUGGAAGAAAUCACCAAGGGUCAGAGGGGGCGGUGAGAAUAACCACGUAUCUCUUGGAGGCUUCCGGGAGAGAUCACUAGAGAAUGGAGAUGGCGAGGGCGGCAGAGAUCAGGAGUCCUUAGAGCUAUGGGCUGUCAACCCAGAUCACAGCAAAGGAUCUGUCCACAUAGGUGACUGAGAAAUUUGUAUUCCGGCGCGUAGGGCUCCAGCCUGGAAGGAGCAGAGAAGUGAAAUUGCCAAACCCAACCCGCGUCCAAAGCUGGAGCCGCUCCUCGUGCUGUCAGAAAAGUGGGUCCCUGCGUCUGGGACAGUGAAAAAGAGAGCGCAAGACCCAGGCACAUCCCCAGCUCAUGCCCAGGCAAGGGACGCAGCCCAAGAAGAGAGGGGAGACGAGGUUGGCGGGGAUGCCUUCCAGGCCAUGCCACACUACAACUUGUCCCCACUUGGCAAAUGAAGAGACUGAGGCUUCUGGGCCGGAUGUGACUCGCGCCGGAACCCAGCUACCGGGACGGAGUGGUCUGACAAGCACCAGGGUCCUGUCAUGGAAGAAGGAUGUUGUGGAGAAGGAUGAAUACAUUCCUUCAACAUGUAUUAAUCAUCUGCUGUGUACCAGAAACUGUGCCAGGUAGUAACUAGUAACCAAGGAUAUGAUAGAAAAAAGACAGGUGAGGGAGUCGUGGCUCAGUGGUAGAGCACUUGCCUGGUGUAUGUAAGGCACAGGAUCUGAUUCUCA
rnacentral:lncRNA from 1 species